GCUGAUCUCACGGGAGCGCACCAGGUCACUCUUGUUGCCCACGAGGAUGAUGGGAGUGUUGGGGUGGCUCUCCCUCAGCAACAAGCGCAGCUGAGACACACGGUGGAAACUACGGCGGUCCGUCAACGAGAACACCAAUACCAGUGAUCCUGAUCCCUUCUGCUCUCAGGACCUGCCUGAUGCAUCCUGAUGCCUUACUUCUAGUUGGAGUGCUCCUCACGUGGACACCACUCACUGCUGCUGAGGAUGGCCUCCAAUAUGGACAGCCUGAAGAUACAUGAGAUUACUGUGGAUGGUACCACUUAGAAACCAUGAAGAUGGCUUUGGACUGCAAUUGAUAUGAACAGUUUUGCUAUGAUGGCUUACGACUACAAUUACUACAAUAUCUUUUGGACUGUAAUUCCCGCAAAUAGUUUUGCACUCAAGUCUCCAUCAGUGAACAGUUGAUAACUUCAUCAAAAUAGACUUUGUGUGAAAACUAUAAUUUCCUGGUUACACAACUGCACUAUUUGUCCAUGUAGUUCACAGUUAUAGAAGGGAAUUAUUUAUAAUCGCACUAUCCGACAAUGACUAGAGGCUUUCAUUUUCAAAUAUUAUAAAAUAACCUUGUGUUUGAGAAUAAUUAAGCUAUUUAACUCAUGGCUGUUAGUAAGAAUAUACACUGGCACCUUUCCUAAAGAAGAACUUAGCUGUUAAACUAAUCAGCUGUUAAUUUCCCCUUUGUAAACCGCCAACUCAAAAGCACAAAAGUGCAAAUAAUGCAUAUAUAAAGAAGCCAAUGAUAAAGCAAACCACACUAUAAUGCUGUGUAUCAAAGUACAAGCAGCAAAUUACACCACCAUUAUCAUUUAUGGAAUAAAAAGCUAACUGAACCAUUGAUUUUCUGCCUUGAUAUCAAAUCUAAAGUACCAACAUAUUGCUUCUAAUAGCUAAUAUGGAAACCCAAGGAAAGGAAGAUAAAUAUCCUUUUACAAGCAUUAUACCGUACCCCAGCUGAAUGCUGGAUUCUGAUUGGUAGGGAGGUGUGGAUUCAUUUUCUAUAACAGCAGCUCUGACUGUCGUGGUUUAUAUUAAUGUGCCUUGUCUAAUACAUGCGCUUGUAUGGUGGACGCUCUACUUCAAAAAAAAAAAAAAAAAAGCUCACUGUAAUUGUUGAUAUGGUGAGGAUUUCUGUGAACAAACAUUACAUAACAUUGAGGGAAGGAGUCUCCAGUGUCAGCACUUUGAAACAGUCAGGGAUAAAGCUGUAACUGCUGUUUUUUUUACUUUUACUUCAAGAGAGAGAAAAAGAGAGGCUGGUGAGGGAACGACUGUGGAUAGCUGAAACUGUUGGUGGUAUAAAAGGGAAUAAAAUACGUCAGGAUGUGAUGUCAUUAGAUAAUAAUCAAACUUUGGGUUGGUAAUGGUGUCGAGUCACAUCACAACACCACAUUGUUGAUUUUUUUCCCUAUGUAGUGUUUUUACACAUUACAUAAGCAACAUAAUGGCUUAUACAAAAGCACACAAUGAACAAAUGCUAAGCAGGCUGGAGAGGCUCACUGUUUACCACAGUUAUAUGAAUACAUUAACUAGAAUCAAAUUUAAAGUUUAUAAAUAACCAGUCGAAUAUUUUAGUAGACGUACUCUGUCAUGUUCGGCUCUGUUGCCAUUCCACCCCGCCAAAUCUCUCCACUCAUUUCUAUGGAACUGAAUUAUUAAAAUGAUCUAAAGCCCUGGCAUUUCCUCACACUGUUAAGAUAAUAAAAUGCUAUGCAAUGUCAGCAGCCUGGUAUGACUUCAGUAUUACAACAGAAUGUUUUUCAGAGCAGUGUAUACACACACACACACACACACCACACACCACACACACUUCUCGUACAUCUGUCCUCUUACUGCACAGUCAGGGUUUUAUCUGGACCAAGUUCAGAGUUGUAAACAAAGCAUAGAAACUGUGGCAUCUGCUGAAAUCCAAAUGUUCCUGAAACUAUCUACCUUAAAUGCUAAAACAACCUGCAUACCACUUUCUGCGUACAAAUAUAUCUAGUUAUGAUGCUGUAAUUUGGUAAAUGUAGAAGCAAGAGUACACAAAUUGUAAAUUUUGUUUGUUUGAAAACCUAACUGACGAGCUAAACAAUAGUUUAUAAUAUUACGUAAUAAAGUAUGGAGAGCUAGUUAGCUACAUAAAUGCAUUAAUACAGAUGCAAACAGGUACACACAUUCCCACAUGAAGGAAUGACUUUGUCUAGACACAGUCAUUAUCCUUUUCUAAGAAAGCUUCUAAUGUAGCACAUCGUAUGUUCAACCUCGACAACAUGCCAGCAAGUUAUUGGCUAUCAGUUGGCUAUGAGGCUAAUUCACUAGAUCAGUAUUCCAGACUAUGUCUUUAAACAGUCUGAAAAAUUCCAGACAUUGAUGUAGAAGCUUCUGAUUGGCCAUUUGUCAUAAGUAGAAGUUAAUUGGGAGUGCAUUUGUGGCUGUAUUUAGAGCGUUUAGAGCCAGUGUUUACAUUUUUGCCUUUCAUACCAUUGGAAUAUCCAAACAACUAAAUCAAGAUCUCCACAAAAAUGUCAACUUCCAGAAGUCUGGUUCCUCUUUAGGAGCAAUUUCCAAUUAAGUGAAUGUACGAUGAGUAUCUGUACAAACAACUGUAUGCAAAUCUAAAAAUCCUGAUACCACACGGACACUGCAUUAUUCAGGAAGGAGGCAGAAUUGAACUCCCAGGGAUGAAUGAGCUCUGGGCUGAAGGGUUCAACUGAACCCCAAGACAACAACAAAGAAACUGGUGAAGAAGUUGGAGGCAUCAGAUACCAAACACGUGCAUCCAUCAUUAAGAGAGUGGCACAUUGCUGUGGCCUGAAAGACUGUCGCAGAAGAAAGAAGGCAGAAAAAAGCCAGAAUGAAGUUUGCAGGUGAUCACCAGGAUGAAGACCUAGCUUUUCAGAGGACAAAAAUUGAACACUUUGGCCACAACAAUCAACACUAUGUAUUGAGGAAAAAGGGUGAGGAUUUCAUUCAAAGAACAAAAUCCCUACUGUGAAGCACGGGGGUGGCAGCAUCACAUUGUGUGCAGGACAGUGAUCCUAAGCAUACCUCCUAAGGUGUAACAAAAUGGCUUAAAGAUAACAAAGGGAAAGUAUUGGAGAGGCCAUCACAAACCCUGACCUGAAUCCCACAGAAAAUCUGUUGACUGAACUGGUAAAGUGUGUCCAAGCAAGGAGGCCCACAAACCUGACUGAGUUACACCAGUUCUGUCAGGAGGAAUGGGCAAAAAUUCCAGCAAAAUAUUGUGAGAUGUUACAACAAGUGUUUGACUCAAGUUAAGCAAUUAAAAAGCAAUGUUCCAAAUACUAAUAAAGUGUAUGUAAAUUUUUUAGCCACUGAAAAUCUCAUAUAGUAAAUAAACACUGAAAUGAAUCUGUCUCUUAGCUAUUAUUUUGAAAUGACCUCUUAUGGAAAUAAAGUAAACAUGAAAAUAAACAUGAAAUUGUCAUGUCCACCAUGGACAAUUCCUCCCCCAAACACCAGAGGGCACUCUCAAUCAUUUUUUUGAAUUUCUUCUUUGGUUGUCUGCUCCAUUUCCUCCCUUGAUUGUGCUCAGCUGUUUUGUGUUUCCCCAAUUAGUUCCCUAUUUAAGUUCUGUGUUUUCCCUCUUUAGUGUUUGAGUGUUGUGUGUGUUUGUGCAUGGUUGAUGUGGGUGCUCAUAUGUUAUAUUCUAUUUGCACCAUGAGUGUUUUUUGGUUUCAUGUUGAGUUUUCUUUUCUUUUCUUUGCCUUGCCAAGCUUUAGCCUAGUCCCUUUUUUGAUAUUCCAGUUUAUGGGUCCUUUUCCAGUCUUCACUUAUUUUUUUUAGUUGUUUUAUUACUAAAAUUUAAAAAGAAAUGCAUCAUUCCCCCUGAAUUCCAUGACAGAAAUAUGUGUAGCUGCCUCCUGGCUUAAGAUUUUCUUUCUUUCUGGUUGAUUAAUACAGUGAUACUGGGCAACUGUGUGAUAAUUUUAGACUGGGUUAUCACACUGUGAUGAUAAUAAACCCAACACCUCCUAGUAAACUAUAGCAAUUUUCAGGACAAUUGGGUCAGGUGCCAGAUUUAUCCCUGGACUCUGUGCCGUGUUGGAGGUUGGAGUUAAGUUUCAUGACUCGUUAGCCCUGGCACAGGUUGGACAGGUUUCAAAUUUGUGCACCAAACUAAAGCAUCAAUGUAAACCAGUACCAAUGGCUGACAGCAGGCAUAGGACACUCUCUAACAUGUGUAAGGGCAGGCAGUCUAUUUUAGGAAACUGGGUGACUUAUUAAAGCCAUUCUUUCUACCUGCUGUCAAGGGUGUUUCAAGCCUCCAGGAAACCUAAAGCAGUCUACUCCAGGCAGUGUGUGUUUGUGUGUAGAGGCACAUGUGCGUCUAUCGUGCUGAGUAUGCAAGCGAGCUGGGCGUGAGAGUGAGAGUGCAGUCCAUACAUCUGCAUACGCAUGAGUGCUCAUGUAUGAAGCAUACUGUGACUGUGUAGGCUGAUUUGUGCAUGCCUUCCUGCACAGGCUCAGGUGUUUAUAAUGGAUUGGGUGGCUGUCUAUUAUCCAAACGUUUCAGUAAAGGUAAUAAACAAGCUGCCAAUGCCUAGUUUUCUCUUAUUAGCAGUGGAAAGCUGCUUUUUUAAGCCCUGAUUCAUGUUAUUAACCUGAUUUGACAGAACAAAUAAUGUCCUGCAGGCAACAAUCUGGGGCCUCCAAUCAGUUAGUAUUCCAAGU